AACAGGUUGCACUGGAUCUUCCCUUGACCCUUCUCAUCUAUGUAUGUGGACCUGUUUUUGGUUUCACCAUCAUGCUUUUGUUUAAUUCUCUCUCCCUGGGUGUUCUCUUUGUGGACAACAUGGAUGACGUGGCACAGGUGAAAUCUUCACUGCAACUCAGUGGACGCUGAGUAUUGAAGGUCAUUUGGUUGUGAAUCCACACCCCAACCUUGUGGCUGGAUUUGCAGCUUUGUUUGCAUCUUACUACAACUUCAACCUGGUUUAUCAGGAGGAGGCAUCCUCCACAUUUGAAUUUGUUCAAAGAUGUUUUGUUGGAAUCAACCCUCCCACUGGCACCAAGACAGCCACAACAAAGGUUGGAGGCAAAAAAGUGGAAAAGCCUCUGAGAAGAGAAACAACACAGUCAACCCUCAUGUGUACUCUACUCAGAAAAUUAAUGGACUUUGAAUGGUUACACAUGUAAGUUCUUGUUCACGUAUUAAGACCAAAACAUGUUUUAAAUAGGCCAGUUCUGUGAAUGAACACUUGUUUCUAGACAUACAAGUUAUGUUCCAACACAGAUUCAACAAUAUCUUAAAUGUAACACAAACCUUGUUAAGAUGUUUUAUAGAUGCCAUUGUUUUAGAUAGAAUACUCAGGAUUGAG